AUGGACAGUCCUGGACAAAGUGCCCAGUACUGCUCCUACACCACCAUGGACAGUGAUUCUAAGGAAAUCAUAUCUAUUGUGACCAUUGACAAAAGAUCCAAAGACCAGCUGACACAAGGCCUCUGGAGUAGUGCGCUUGUGGGAUAUGUGGCAUGAAGAUAAAAAUCUUUCCAAGAAGAUUGCUGCAGUGGGACAGCAGGCGGGACAAAAGUUCCUGCUGCAGUGGAUCAAAGACAUAGUAAACCACUUCUGGAUUUCUGUGGGGCACUGCUGGUUGAAGAAUGGGAUGCCAUCCCAUAGCAGUGUGUGACCAGCAUGAGGAGGAGGUGCCAGGCUGUUGUUUAGCAACUUUUUAAAUUGUAAUCACUUUGGUGAUCCCUUGUGCGACUGUUCAGCAAUUGUAAUUUAUCCAAAACUUUGGUUUGGUAA